rnacentral:rRNA from 1 species
UACGGGGGGAGCAAGCGUUGUUCGGAUUUACUGGGCGUAAAGGGCUCGUAGGCGGCCAACUAAGUCGGACGUGAAAUCCCUCGGCUCAACCGGGGAACUGCGUCCGAUACUGGAUGGCUUGAAUCCGGGAGAGGGAUGCGGAAUUCCAGGUGUAGCGGUGAAAUGCGUAGAUAUCUGGAGGAACACCGGUGGCGAAGGCGGCAUCCUGGACCGGCAUUGACGCUGAUGCGCGAAAGCCAGGGGAGCAAACGGG